rnacentral:rRNA from 1 species
GAUCCUGGCUCAGGAUGAACGCUGGCGGCGUGCCUAACACAUGCAAGUCGAACGAGAUGCGUAUCGGAAAGCUUCGGCCGGAAGAUGCGUUAUCUAGUGGCGGACGGGUGAGUAACACGUGGGUAACCUGCCUUAUGGAGGGGGAUAACAGAGAGAAAUCACUGCUAAUACCGCAUAAGCACACAUUGCCGCAUGGCAGAGUGUGAAAAGAUUUAUCGCCAUAAGAUGG